rnacentral:tRNA from 1 species
AGCAGUGGGGCUUAAUGGAAAGAGCAUGGGAGUCAAAAGACCUGGGUUCUAAUCCCAGCUCUGCCA